UUGAGUUCUGGGCCGCACGCGCGCUACACUGACGGAGCCAGCGAGUACUUCCUUGGCCGAAAGGCCCGGGUAAUCUUGUUAAACUCCGUCGUGCUGGGGAUAGAGCAUUGCAAUUAUUGCUCUUCAACGAGGAAUCCCUAGUAAGCGCAAGUCAUCAGCUUGCGUUGAUUACGUCCCUGCCCUUUGUACACACCGCCCGUCGCUACUACCGAUUGAAUGGCUCAGUGAGGCGUUCGGACUGGCCCAGAGAGGUGGGCAACUACCACUCAGGGCCGGAAAGUUCUCCAAACUCGGUCAUUUAGAGGAAGUAAAAGUCGUAACAAGGUCUCCGUUGGUGAACCAGCGGAGGGAUCAUUACCGAGUUAUACAACUCAUCAACCCUGUGAACAUACCUAUAACGUUGCCUCGGCGGGAACAGACGGCCCCGUAACACGGGCCGCCCCCGCCAGAGGACCCCCUAACUCUGUUUCUAUAAUGUUUCUUCUGAGUAAACAAGCAAAUAAAUUAAAACUUUCAACAACGGAUCUCUUGGCUCUGGCAUCGAUGAAGAACGCAGCGAAAUGCGAUAAGUAAUGUGAAUUGCAGAAUUCAGUGAAUCAUCGAAUCUUUGAACGCACAUUGCGCCCGCCAGUAUUCUGGCGGGCAUGCCUGUUCGAGCGUCAUUACAACCCUCAGGCCCCCGGGCCUGGCGUUGGGGAUCGGCGGAAGCCCCCUGCGGGCACAACGCCGUCCCCCAAAUACAGUGGCGGUCCCGCCGCAGCUUCCAUUGCGUAAUAGCUAACACCUCGCAACUGGAGAGCGGCGCGGGCCCCCCGUAAAACACCCAACUUCUGAAUGUUGACCUCGAAUCAGGGAGGAAUACCGCUGAACUUAGCAUAUCAUAAGCGGAGGAAAAAAACCACAGGGAUUGCCCCGUACGCGAGUGAACGGCACCGCUCAAAUUUAAAUCUGGCUCUCGGCCCAAUUUAAUUUGAAAGGAGCUUUGGGGGGGGCUUCCAGUUCCCGGA
rnacentral:rRNA from 1 species